rnacentral:rRNA from 1 species
GAUUAACGCUGGCGGUAUGUCUAAUACAUGCAAGUCGAGCGGACUUGAUGGAGAAGCUUGCUUCUUCUGAAGGUUAGCGGCGGACGGGUGAGUAACACGUAGGCAACCUGCCUUUCAGUUUGGGAUAACUUCCGGAAACGGAUGCUAAUACUGAAUACAUCAUCUUCUGGCAUCAGAGGAUGAGGAAAGACGGCGCAAGCUGUCACUGAGAGAUGGGCCUGCGGCGCAUUAGCUAGUUGGUGGGGUAAUGGCUCACCAAGGCGACGAUGCGUAGCCGACCUGAGAGGGUGAACGGCCACACUGGGACUGAGACACGGACCAGACUCCUACGGGAGGCAGCAGUAGGGAAUCUUCCACAAUGGGCGAAAGCCUGAUGGAGCAAUGCCGCGUGAGUGAUGAAGGUUUUCGGAUCGUAAAGCUCUGUUGCCAGGGAAGAACGUCCAGGUGAGUAACUGCACCUGGAGUGACGGUACCUGAGAAGAAAGCCCCGGCUAACUACGUGCCAGCAGCCGCCGUAA